UAAAUACUCCCCCCGUCAGUAAAUACUUGUCUUAGAAAUGGAUGAAUCUAGACUUAUUUUAGUUAUAGAUACAUCCAUUUUAUCCAUUUCUAGGACAAGUAUUUCUGGACGGAGGGAGUAUAAG
rfam:Triticum aestivum genome assembly, contig: Triticum_aestivum_CS42_TGACv1_scaffold_501300_6BL